UUAAUUAGCAAUAUAUAAAUUACAUGGUUGUACUUUCAUCUCUUAGGUUCUGCAAAAAAAUGUCAGCAACCCCAAUCAGAAACAACUUUCAGGACCUUUGGACGCCCAUUUAAUGCCUGCAGAUCCCCUGGGGGAGACUACACAGCUGACAGUGGCACUGGUGAGGAAACUAGAAGAGAAACAUCCUAAGGCCUCAGCUCAAAGGGAAUGGGAGAUUGGGAUGAAGGAGAAGCAGGGAAGGAAAUGCAUCGAUUUCACCAGGUCCUGGUUUCCAAUAUAGAGCAUCCCUUAUCUAUCCAAAACCAGUUCAUGAGAAAUCAAAAACAAGGGAUGGGAUGUGUGAUGUCCAUGUGAUGGCAGGUGAGAGCUUUGUCCAGCUGCUAACUGGGAGGGUGCUCUGUGGAAAGGACAA
rnacentral:lncRNA from 1 species